rnacentral:rRNA from 1 species
CCGCCCGUCACGUCAUGGGAGUUGUCAAUGCUUGAAGUCCGUGGGCUGACCGCAAGGAGGCAGCGGCCGAGGGCAGGGCAGCGACUGGGACG